GGCAAGCAAUGUCAUCGCUGAUUUCUUGAAGAAGAGGUUUUAGAGGCUUAAGGAUAUGAGGUUUUGAGGCGGUAUGACAGUGUCUAAAAGAGGACAGUGAAUGAACUAGGAAACUGAAAGUGUAACUGCCCUAUAACAUUAAGGGUCUACUUGAAGUUUUCGAAGGGACUGAAUAAGUUGGGGAAGCAACAUGCUUUAAUGGUUAAAGGAAUACACCCUGGAGCUGAAGUACCUGGGGCAAGUUACUUGCCCCUUCCAUAACCAGGUUUCUUCAUCCAUAAAACAAGGAUAUAAUAAAAGCUGCAACCUCACAGGGUUGUUGAGGAGUAAAUGAGAGACGAGGGUCUCCCUAUGUUUCCUGGCUGGUCUUGAACUCUUAGGCUCAAGCAAUCCUCCCACCUUGGCCUUCCAAAGUGCUGGGAUUACAGGUGUGAGCCAACAUGCCCAGCCACAUUUCUCAGCUGUGAUGUGAGAAGGAUUUGGCAUCUCUUUCUUCUGAAAGUUCUAGCAAUGCUGGAUACUUACAUCAAUAUUGACAGGUUCUAUUGUGUUUAUAUGCACAUUGGGAGCUGAUGAGGAUCGGUCUCGUUGCCCAAAUUGAUUUCGAUGAUCUUCAUCUGCUGGUCGGAAGGGCUGUGGAAUUGGAAUGGAUUUUGAAGGAGACGGACUGGUGAGAAUUUGGGGCCUGGAAAAAUGAAGUCAUUGGAAGAUAAGAUUCAGAGUAACGAUAUAAAGGAGUUGAAUGAAAAUCCAGAACAAUAUUGAAAAAUCCUUUUCAAAUUCAGAAGAUGAUCCUCAGAGUGCCAAUAUCUCUCAUAUUCUGGAUUUUUUAUCAUGCCCAUUAUUGAUAACAGAGACACAAGAGAAUCAUAUAUUAACCACUAAAGCAAAUAUUUUUGAAAACUGCUAUUUGGAAAACCACCAAAAUGUUACAUUUGUAUGCUAUUUGGAAAAUCACCAAAAUAUGUUACAUACCUAUUUCGGUAUGGUAGCUAAAUAACAUAGUCUAUGAUAUCUCACCCUAAAAUGAACCUGGCACUCACAGAGAACACUAAAGUUUUGAGACUAGAUUGUAAACACUUGGAAGGAUGUAGCCCCUCAGAAAGGGUAUCCUAGGAGUGGGGAAAUGAGUGUCACUUGAUAGAUGAGGUAAGCUGUCUCACUUAACUCCAUCAGGACCAAUGAAUGGCUAAGUGCCAAUAAGCUCUCUUCACAUAUUGGUUAUCAUUCCACCCUAUUUUAUGCAAACUAAUUAUUAGUGGUUACUAAGACACAGCUAGAAAGACAAUGUUGAGGGAAUAAAAAGACACUUUUGUGAGACGUGAGGAAUGGGAAAAAAAUAUAGUAGGAAAGGAAUGAAUAAAGGUUUGAAGAGCCAAGGAAGCCUAACAGUGAAAGUCAGUCUCUGAAUAAAACAUGUCAGAAUC
rnacentral:lncRNA from 1 species